GACGUAGGGCGCAAGCGUUUGUCCGGAUUUAUUGGGCGUAAAGAGCUCGUAGGCGGCCUGUCGCGUCGACCGUGAAAACCCGCAGCUCAACUGCGGGCUUGCGGUCGAUACGGGCAGGCUGGAGUUCGGUAGGGGAGACUGGAAUUCCUGGUGUAGCGGUGAAAUGCGCAGAUAUCAGGAGGAACACCGGUGGCGAAGGCGGGUCUCUGGGCAUGACCUGACGCUGGAGGAGCGAAAAGUGUCGGGGAGGCGAACAGG
rnacentral:rRNA from 1 species